rnacentral:rRNA from 1 species
UCGUGAGGUGACUUGUCUACUUAACUGUGAUAACGAACGAGACCUUCUUCGUUAAAUAGCCAGGCUAGCUUUGGCUGGUCGCCGGCUUCUUAGCGAGACUUUGGCUCAAGCCAAAGGAAGUUGGAGGCAAUAACA